UAAUGCGAAAUGAGCUCCAAUACUCGUUCUCCUCCUCACCCUUUUAAUUGCACUAGGGAAUCGUGUAUAUAAACCAUUUAUUAACUUCUUAACUACUGUUAUUAUAGAGUACAAUCCCUGACAUCACACACUGCAGAGAUGGAUAACCAAGGAGUAAUCUACUCAGACCUGAAUCUGCCCCCAAACCCAAAAAGGCAGCAACGAAAACCUAAAGGCAAUAAAAGCUCCAUUUUAGCAACUGAACAGGAAAUAACCUAUGCGGAAUUAAACCUUCAAAAAGCUUCUCAGGAUUUUCAAGAGAAUGACAAAACCUAUCACUGCAAAGAUUUACCAUCAGCUCCAGAGAAGCUCAUUGUUGGGAUCCUGGGAAUUAUCUGUCUUAUCUUAAUGGCCUCUGUGGUAACGAUAGUUGUUAUUCCCUGUAAGUCUAUUUUCGAAGAUUACAAGGGGAAUUUUCACGUUAAUGAUUGAAUGUGCCUCUAAACAAUUUCAUAUUUUCAGGGAAUAGAGUUCUCAUUGUAAUGUAUAUAUUUGGACUAAAUGUGGAAUGAUUAUUCUGAAUUUGUCAAAGAAUAAAUGAAAGAAUAAUUGUUGAAAGUAUUCGCUUCUGAUGCAAUCGUAUGUAUAUAUUUGGAUUUCAUAACUCAAAAAUAUGUUCUAGGAGUCUGAAAAACCUUACUGAGAAAUAGAAAUUAAUUUUUGAAAGUAGUUAAAUCAAGAAUUAUAAGAACUAUAUGAGAUGGUGAAAUUUGGUUCUUUAGAUCUAUGAAAUACUUUUCCAAAAAACCACCAUUACUUUAUCAAAUUUUUCUUAAAAUCAAUUUUAUUCCAUAUUAUUCUAACUCUAAAUAAUACAAAAAAUUCAAACAAAAACUUAAAAUUAUUAUGAUUGAUUUAGAUGCUAAUUUUUUUA
rnacentral:sRNA from 1 species